GCGGGGAUAGCUCAGUUGGGAGAGCGUCAGACUGAAGUCCACUUCAAUCUAAAUAUCUGAAGGUCGUGCGUUCGAUCCGCACUCACCGCA